rnacentral:tRNA from 1 species
CUGAAGGCGCACGCCUGGAAAGUGUGUUUAGGUUAACCCCUAACGAGGGUUCGAAUCCCUCUCUCUCCG